GAACCGAGCGAACGUUGUUCGGAAUCACUGGGCUUAAAGGGCGCGUAGGCGGGCUGUCAAGUCUGGGGUGAAAUCCCGCGGCUCAACCGUGGAACUGCCUCAGAUACUGACGGCCUCGAGGGAGGUAGGGGCGUGCGGAACUGUAGGUGGAGCGGUGAAAUGCGUUGAUAUCUACAGGAACUCCGGUGGCGAAAGCGGCGCGCUGGACCUCUUCUGACGCUGAGGCGCGAAAGCUAGGGGAGCAAACGGGAUUAGAUACCCCGGUAGUCCUAGCCCUAAACGAUGGGUACUAGGUAGUAGACUAGAUAUGGGUUUACUGCCGAAGCUAAAGUGCUAAGUACCCCGCCUGGGGAGUAUGGUCGCAAGGCUGAA
rnacentral:rRNA from 1 species